GUAGGUGGCAAGCGUUGUCCGGAAUUAUUGGGCGUAAAGCGCGCGCAGGCGGUCCUUUAAGUCUGAUGUGAAAGCCCACGGCUCAACCGUGGAGGGUCAUUGGAAACUGGGGGACUUGAGUACAGAAGAGGAAAGCGGAAUUCCACGUGUAGCGGUGAAAUGCGUAGAGAUGUGGAGGAACACCAGUGGCGAAGGCGGCUUUCUGGUCUGUAACUGACGCUGAGGCGCGAAAGCGUGGGGAGCAAACAGGGAUUAGAUACCCUGGUAGUCCACGCCGUAAACGAUGAGUGCUAAGUGUUAGGGGGGUUUCCGCCCCCUUAGUGCUGCAGCUAACGCAUUAAGCACUCCGCCUGGGGAUACGGCCGCAAGGCUG
rnacentral:rRNA from 1 species